UUAUAAAAAAGCAAAAUCGCUUUAAUCUCAUUUAUUUCUGUGUGUUAAAGAAAGCAAAAAAAGCAGUUAUGUUCUGCGUUUCAACGAAAGUGAAUGGAUGUGUGUGAACUGUUCAACCAGUGCUGUCACUGUCACUCUACAACCACAUGAGGUCAUUUACGAUAUCCCUGUUCAAGAUGAUGAUGGAGAUAUUGAUCCCUCAGAAGUAUUAGACUACAUGAACAAAAUGGAGUCUAAGAUGGAAGAGAUGGAAAAAAACAAUAUAAGCAAAGCAGGGAUUGUCAUGGGGGAUGUUAUUGGUGUUGUUCAUGUGCAAGCCAAAAGUACAGAAACCAAAGACAUAUGCUACUCUUCAGAUGAGGACAUUAUAAACGAUGUUGAUUGUCAAAGUAACCUGAAGGAAGGUUUUCCCUGGUCUGUAAUGAUUUCCAGUGAGGCCUUUAAUAAAUCACGACAGGGAAAUAAUGGAAGAGCAUUUCUUGGAAUUCUAAAAUUCUACAAUAUGACAAAUGAGGUACACACAGUUACAAAUUACAAAUCUGUCAUAUGAUUUCAGAAGAGUUAGACUUUAAUUGACUGUCAUAUCCACUACUGUCAAGAUGAUUCUUUAGUUUUUUUUCUUUUUCUUAAUCCUCUUUAC